rnacentral:rRNA from 1 species
AUUGAACGCUGGCGGCAGGCCUAACACAUGCAAGUCGAGCGGAGCGGCGGACGGGUGAGUAAUGCCUAGUAAUCUGCCUGGUAGUGGGGGAUAACGUCCGGCAACGGGCGCUAAUACCGCAUACUAUCAGAUGAGCCUAGGUCGGAUUAUCUAGUUGGUGGGGUAAAGUCCUACAAAGGCGACGAUCCGUAACUGGUUUGAGAGGAUGAUCAGUCACACUGGAACUGGGACACGGUCCAGACUCCUACGGGAGGCAGCAGUGGGGAAUAUUGGACAAGUGGCGAAAGCAGGAUCCAGCCAUGCCGGGUGUGUGAAGAAGGUCUUCGGAUUGUAAAGCACUUUAAGUUGGGAGGCGUUACCAAAAGAAUAAGCACCGGCUAACUUCGUGCCAGCAGCCGCGGUAAGAC